rnacentral:rRNA from 1 species
AUUGAACGCUGGCGGCAUGCCUUACACAUGCAAGUCGAACGGUAACAGGUCUUCGGAUGCUGACGAGUGGCGAACGGGUGAGUAAUACAUCGGAACGUGCCUAGUAGUGGGGGAUAACUACUCGAAAGAGUGGCUAAUACCGCAUGAGAUCUACGGAUGAAAGCAGGGGAUCGCAAGACCUUGUGCUACUAGAGCGGCCGAUGGCAGAUUAGGUAGUUGGUGGGAUAAAAGCUGACCAAGCCGACGAUCUGUAGCUGGUCUGAGAGGACGAUCAGCCACACUGGGAUUGAGAAUCGGCCCAGACUCCUACGGGAGGCAGCAGUCGGGAAUAUUGGACAAUGGGCGAAAGCAUGAUCCAGCAAUGCCGCGUGCAGGAUGAAGGCCUUCUGGUUGUAAACUGCUUUUGUACGGAACGAAGAGCCACGGGUUAAUACCCUGGGGUCAUGACGGUACCGUAAGAAUAAGCACCGGCUAACUACGUGCCAGCAGCCGCGGUAA